UACGUAGGGUGCGAGCGUUAAUCGGAAUACUGGGCGUAAAGCGUGCGCAGGCGGUUUUGUAAGUCUGUCGUGAAAGCCCCGGGCUCAACCUGGGAAUUGCGAUGGAGACUGCAAGGCUUGAAUCUGGCAGAGGGGGGUAGAAUUCCACGGUGUAGCAGUGAAAUGCGUAGAGAUGUGGAGGAACACCGAUGGCGAAGGCAGCCCCCUGGGUCAAGAUUGACGCUCAUGCACGAAAGCGUGGGAGCAACAGG
rnacentral:rRNA from 1 species